GACAUCUGGUGACUAGGAAGCUUGAGGGCACAGGGCAGUUGACCAGAAGGGCCAAUCAGUAAUGUAUAAGCUCUUAGUUUAAUAUUGACUUGCACUACUCAUUCCUAUCUUUGGCUGGAAAGUCUUUCUAGCACAAAUUAAUUGCCAUAUGACUGCUGCUUGAUUCUCUGUUCUACCUAGUGAUGGCUAAUGUUUUUUGUUGUGUCAAGAUUCAGUUUGCUGGCUUGGCUUGUGUAGUUAUUUUUAUGGGUUUUUUAAAAUGUAUUUUUCUUACUCUUUCCAUGUCGGAAGCUAUUGAAUUAUGAAUAUCUUCUCUUCCCGAUUAAAUUCUCCUGAGUCUGUAAAUUUUGCUUUAAUGCCAAGUGUAAUGUUAAUGUUUGCUCAGUAAUAGGAAAUUAUUACCAUUCCUACCUGACUUAAAGGAGUUUCCUUGGCCCUUUUGAUGCAAGUCCUUAGUUCUCAGAAGAGGCAAAUUAUGUGUCCCCCCCUUCCCCCAACCCUCCAUUAGCAAUCAUUCUGUUGCACGCAGCAUGUGAUAAAUCAACUGGAGGAGCUUUAGAGUUGCCACAACAUGACAUUACCUAUCAGCUUGUCAAGCCUGUGUAGGCUCUGAGCCUUUUAGGCUGUAUAUUUCUUCAAAGUCUAGCGCCAGUUACUUAGUCAGCUCUAACUAAUUUCAGAGUGGAAGGGAAACUUUACUGGAGUGCUGUUUGGGAUCUGCUUUUUAAUCCGGGUCUGUUUAAUGUUUGCCUCCUGACAUUCUAGGCCAGACAUCAUUUUAAUGGUAUGUGUGGUGAUAAAGCCAAUAAGCUGUCAAGAUGAUUGAUAAUCUAAGCAUUAUAGCAAUAUGACUUUCCUGUUCUCCUCUGUGCUUUAGAUGAUGGUUUCCAAAUUGAAUUCUUAUAGUGUGCUGCUAUAUGUGUGUGCUCGUUGGAUAUUCUCUAAACACAGGAUUUGAAGAGGGAGGUGCUGUUUGGUUUUGUGAGAUUUUAGAUCUGUGCCUCUCCUUGGAUAAAAUAGAGCUUUUAAUUUAAGAAACUUCCAAAGGGAGAAGGGUCAUUGUUUAGUCUUUAUGCACAUGAAUAUAUGUUGCAUUUGCUGUCACUUCCUUCCUCCCACGCUCACCUCAGAUUUAAUAUGGACUUUGGAAUCCCAUGUGGCAGAUAUGCAUUAUGAACAGAGUAAUUGGAAGCAUGGAUUUGGAGUUUUCACGAUUUUAAGAAUGACUGGAGCAGGUACAUAUCCCCCCUUCCCCAC